rnacentral:lncRNA from 1 species
GUCUCUUUGGUCCCACCAUGGAAAGACACAGCAAGUAGGCGGCCAUCUGCAGACCAGGAAGAGGCCUCCCACCAGGAACCAAGUCAGCCGGCAUCUCAAUCCUGGACUUCCAGCCUCCAGAAUGGAAUGGAAUAUGUCCCUGCCCAUUGAUGCAGGGCAUGGCUGUGAGACUUGUUGUCACCUCAAGAUGAUUAGCUAGUACUAAUCAAAGUCAUUUCAAGAAAAUGUGUCCUUCUCAAGCUGUUCUUUACCAGUCAGUGACAUUAUCUUUCUCCAGUUGCCUGGUGUGUUUGCCACAAAACUCAGCUGAGGAUCCUUAGCAACAGUUCACAACGGUCAACAGGUGUUGGAGUGGCCACAGGCAUUUCUGGCUGAGAGGAAGUUGAGUUGGACACAUUAGUAUGAGUCCAGGGGAACACAUUUCGGUGGCUCAGUCACACAGCGCAUGGUGAAGAUACUGUGAGCUGUCCCGGUGUAGGAGCAGCUUUUAGGAACAUCCCUGUUGCCCACUGUGCCAACUCAUCUGGCCCCAGGACCAGGGCCAGAGGUCCUAUCGAGAUACCCACAGGUCCUAUGGCACCCAGAAUGGAACUAUGUGGAGACUGGAGGAGAAACAUAAUUUGAAAUGUGUGGAACCAGAAGCCAGCCUGUGGAAAAUUCUUGCAAUCAUGAGAGAUUUAAAAUUGUAAGUAGAAGACUUGGUUCCCAUUAAUGCCUAAUAAGAACAGAAGCUCUUUCUUAUUGAGGAAAUAUACUCAAUAACGCAGCAUAUACAAUUAUAAAUGCACCAUUGACUUGUUUUUUGAUGAGACGCAUGUGAAAUAAAUUUAUCGGAAUUCCUGGAUCUAUUGGGGAAAACCCAUAGCAGAACCACAAACUGAGUAUAGCAUCUGUAACAGCUCAAUUAUGAACGAAACUCGCAAGCCACUUUCUCAAAUCUGACAGCCAACCUGAAUGUAGAUGACAUUACCAAGAACAAAUUAUGAAGUUCAAAGGAACUUUUCUAAACUAUUUAUAAUUUUUUAAAAUGCCAACAAACUGAAUUAUCUUU